AUGACAGGCGAUGGUGAAGGUCAGUCCAGCUCCCGACCUGAUGGAUCUCGGACGGCAUGGAAGCUGCUUUGGAAUAGUGGAGCUCCACCAAAGGUUAACGUAUUUGCUUGGAAAGCAGCACGAGAUGCGCUAGCAACUCGUGAGAAUAAACGUCGGCGACACCUAGAGUUGGAGAACACCUGCGAAAUAUGUGGCCUUGAAGCCGAGACUACCCAACAUGCAUUAACCAGGUGCCCUCAUGCCCGCGAUCUCUGGGAUGCUAUGCGUAGGGUGUGGGACCUGCCGUCGGAUGAAGUCAUGCAUAGAGAUGAGCCAGAUUGGCUGUUGUUAGUUCUACAGGACCUGGAUGACACCCGUCGUAUGCUCCUGCUAAUGUUGUUAUGGCGAGUUUGGUACGUCCGUAAUGAACUCACACAUGAGAAGCCAUUCAUCCCGAUAGAAGCGUCCAGGCGAUUUUUGUGCAGCUAUGUGGAGACGUUGCUUUUGAUCAAACACUAUCCCAAUGAGGACGUGACUAAAGGCAAGCAACCGGCAGGUUUAGCAGGGCAAAAGAAACCAUCCAAACGCGAGCAGUCUGAACUGUCCACGGCUGAAUGGGAACCGCCACCGGAAGGUUGUGUCAAGCUGAACUUUGAUGGUUCUUUCGUUGCUGCUGAUGGAACGGCGGGAGCAGGAAUGAUAUUACGUGACCAUACUGGUAGUGUGAUAUUUGCAGCUUGUAGGUGUCUCUUCAACUGCCAAAGCCCCUUCGAAUCGGAACUAGCAGCAUGCGAAGAAGGCCUACGACUAGCGCUGCAUUGGUCUACGACACCCAUUAUGGUGGAAUCCGACUGCGCCGAGUUAGUCACUCUACUUUCGUCCAGUACACCAGACCGAUCUAGCAACAUGUAUCAACUUACAGAUGUGGCUGACUUGCUCAAGGAAAGGGAGACCCACGUCCGGCGAAUUGGCAGAGCACAGAACAAGGCAAGCCACGCCAUGGCAGCCAUUGGCCGUGGCCAACAACGCACUGCAUGCUGGCUCUCUAAUGUACCCCAGGAGAUUAGCACUAUCAUUAGUGAGGAAUGUAAAACCAUUAUCAAUUAA
rnacentral:rRNA from 1 species